CGAGUGGCGGACGGGUGAGGAAUACAUCGGAAUCUGCCUAUUUGUGGGGGAUAACGUAGGGAAACUUACGCUAAUACCGCAUACGACCUACGGGUGAAAGCGGAGGACCUUCGGGCUUCGCGCAGAUAGAUGAGCCGAUGUCGGAUUAGCUAGUUGGCGGGGUAAAGGCCCACCAAGGCGACGAUCCGUAGCUGGUCUGAGAGGAUGAUCAGCCACACUGGAACUGAGACACGGUCCAGACUCCUACGGGAGGCAGCAGUGGGGAAUAUUGGACAAUGGGCGCAAGCCUGAUCCAGCCAUGCCGCGUGGGUGAAGAAGGCCUUCGGGUUGUAAAGCCCUUUUGUUGGGAAAGAAAAGCAGUCGGUUAAUACCCGAUUGUUCUGACGGUACCCAAAGAAUAAGCACCGGCUAACUUCGUGCCAGCAGCCGCGGUAAUACGAAGGGUGCAAGCGUUACUCGGAAUUACUGGGCGUAAAGCGUGCGUAGGUGGUUUGUUAAGUCUGAUGUGAAAGCCCUGGGCUCAACCUGGGAAUUGCAUU
rnacentral:rRNA from 2 species